rnacentral:rRNA from 1 species
UACGUAGGGUGCAAGCGUUAAUCGGAAUUACUGGGCGUAAAGCGUGCGCAGGCGGUUGUGCAAGACAGAUGUGAAAUCCCCGGGCUCAACCUGGGAAUUGCAUUUGUGACUGCACGGCUAGAGUGUGUCAGAGGGGGGUAGAAUUCCACGUGUAGCAGUGAAAUGCGUAGAGAUGUGGAGGAAUACCGAUGGCGAAGGCAGCCCCCUGGACUGGUCCUGACACUCAGGAGCGAAAGCGUGGGGAGCAAACAGG